UUGACAAUCCAGGAGGACAAGGUUCUCUGCUCACACACUAGAAGUAACAUGGACAGCCUUUGUGCUAGUUUCCCCCACACUGGCUGCCUACAGACCUUAAUCCUGAUCUGGAGGGACCACUGCCGAGCGGAAGAGGGUAGUUCAGUCUCUGUGGCCAAUUCAGUCCAUGGCUUCU
ensembl:misc_RNA